GUUACAGCAGCUGUCUGUAGUCCAGACGGUGGUCGGCAGCAGUCUGCAGCACAUGCGGGUAUUGAGGCGGUGCUAAACCCGAGUCAACACUGCUUAGUUGAAAGCUCAACUGACCAAUAGCAGAAUGAUGAGCCCCUUCAGAGCAGUCAGAAGAGCAUGAAAAAAAUGAGCCAGGAGUUACCUUCCUGCUUGUAAACUUGACGUUUGUCUAACAAGGGCAGUUUUUUUAAGGAGUCCUUUGUGGUCAGUGUUUACUCCUCUGUCCAGCCAUAGGGGCGUAUAGCACGACGGACUCCUCCCCCGUGCUUGAAAUGCCGUAUAAAUGCAGCAUCAGCCUGUCAACAGCAGUGUCUGAAAGCUUAUUGGUACCCAAACA